UUGGAGGGCAAGUCUGGUGCCAGCAGCCGCGGUAAUUCCAGCUCCAAUAGCGUAUAUUAAAGUUGUUGCAGUUAAGAAGCUCGUAGUUGAAUUUCGGGAUUCAUCCGUUGGUCGGGCUUCACGGUCCGUACUGGUGUGAUGGGUUCCUACCUUCUGAAUAACCGGCAUGCCAUUAAUUUGGUGCGCCGGGGAAGCAGAACUAUUACCUUGAAAAAAUUAGAGUGCUUAAAGCAGGCAAGUGCCUGAAUAGGUUAGCAUGGAAUAAUAAAAUAGGACGGCAUGGUUCUAUUUUGUUGGUUUCUAGGAUCACCGUAAUGAUUAAUAGGGAUAGUUGGGGGCAUUAGUAUUCAAUUGUCAGAGGUGAAAUUCUUGGAUUUAUUGAAGACUAACUUCUGCGAAAGCAUUUGCCAAGGAUGUUUUCAUUAAUCAAGAACGAAAGUUAGGGGAUCGAAGACGAUCAGAUACCGUCGUAGUCUUAACCAUAAACUAUGCCGACUAGGGAUCGGAUGAUGUUAAUUUUUUAAUGACUCAUUCGGCGCCUUACGGGAAAC
rnacentral:rRNA from 1 species